rnacentral:misc_RNA from 1 species
GAAAUGCGAAAAGUAGUGUGAAUUGCAGAAUUCAGUGAAUCAUCGAAUCUUUGAACGCACAUUGCGCCCCUUGGUAUUCCAUGGGGCAUGCCUGUUCGAGCGUCAUUUGUACCCUCAAGCUCAGUCUUGGUGUUGGGUGUUUGUCCUGCCCUCGUGGCGGACUCGCCUUAAAGUGAUUGGCAGCCGGAAUAAUUCUGGGGAACGCAGCACAACUGCAGCCUCUAGUCUUAUACGCCGAGCGUCCAACAAGCCUUUUAUUCUUGCGUUUGACCUCGGAUCAGGUAGGGAUACCCGCUGAACUUAA